rnacentral:rRNA from 1 species
GACAGAGGGUGCAAACGUUGCUCGGAAUCACUGGGCGUAAAGGGCGUGUAGGCGGGUAGAUAAGUCGGGCGUGAAAUCCCUAGGCUCAACCUAGGAACUGCACUCGAAACUGUUUAUCUUGAGUGCCGGAGAGGAAAGCGGAAUUCCAGGUGUAGCGGUGAAAUGCGUAGAUAUCUGGAGGAACACCGGUGGCGAAGGCGGCAUCCUGGACCGAUACUGACGCUGAGGAGCGAAAGCCAGGGGAGCAAACGGG